GACAAACGUCCUCGACAUCGUCACUCAGUCUUCGAGUACUUCUCACUUGCAAAGACCUAGCGCUAGAGACGUUGUUUAGCGUCCCUGUUACCUCGACGAUCCUCUGACAGACGCUGUGAACCCGAACGGUCAGAGAGCACCGAGAGUGAAGAAAAUUAGUAACCGACAUCGUGAGCGCCCAUUUGUUUUACCAGACCAGCCGCUCGAUCGUCCGCCGUAUCAUCCAGAUGAUGAUGACUCAGCCGUGUUGGGAAGGAGAAAGACCGCAGGAAACUUCAGUCCCAUCCUUUGUGUAUUCAGGCCAACGCCAAAUUAUACCAGAAUUCGUCCUGGAGAACUGCUGCUGGUUGUAAUGGAGGAUCCGCGCUUCCGGCUACUCAAAUCUCUUUCUUGCCGGACAGAUCAUCCAUCAAACAAUGAUUCGUUGGAGCAAGGAUCAAAGGAUGACGCAGCUCUUCCUCUGUAAGUGUCUGCCCUGAUGCGUUCAGUAGUAGCCGACUAUGUCCUUCAAUCGUUGAAACAAUUUGUCCACCUCGUUUUCCAUUCGUCCAAUCUCUUCGACGGUUUCGUGAAACUCCAGCUCACUCGAUAAAUAGCCAACGAAUUGAAGACGAAUGCUUUUACGACCAAACAGCAACGAACCCCUGACCAGCAGUACCAACAAAGCCCGGCAGUCGACUUGAACAGUCCGGUUCCCCGGACGGAUGUUACAGCGCCGUUAGCCCGUAAUCGGACUUGACCGCCGGUGGCGGAAUGGGCGCGGAGACCUGCGACAGUCCAGACGGACUGGUCGCCGGGGCAAGAGGAC
rnacentral:misc_RNA from 1 species